AAUCCUUGAAAAAGAAGAUCAAGAAACUUCGAAGAAGCUUUCUUGAUGGAGGGGAGCGGCAGACGGGUGAGUAACGCGUGGGAAUCUACCGUACCCUACGGAAUAGCUCUGGGAAACUGGAGGUAAUACCGUAUACGCCCUAACGGGGAAAGAUUUAUCGGGGUAUGAUGAGCCCGCGUUGGAUUAGCUAGUUGGUGGGGUAAAGGCCUACCAAGGCGACGAUCCAUAGCUGGUCUGAGAGGAUGAUCAGCCACAUUGGGACUGAGACACGGCCCAAACUCCUACGGGAGGCGGCAGUGGGGAAUAUUGGACAAUGGGCGCAAGCCUGAUCCAGCCAUGCCGCGUGAGUGAUGAAGGUCUUAGGAUUGUAAAGCUCUUUCACCGAUGAAGAUAAUGACGGUAGUCGGAGAAGAAGCCCCGGCUAACUUCGUGCCAGCCGCCGCAGUAA
rnacentral:rRNA from 1 species